AGAGAAAAAAAAGAACCCAUGCAACACGGCGACAGCCUAGCUCCCAUCUCCACCUCGAGCGCAUCUCCAUGCUCCAACACGGCGCCGACCCCUGCCACGCGCCGCCGCAUCCGGCCCCCGCCCCUCCGCCGCGCGCCGCCACCGCUGGCAACCGUCGUCUGCCGCCCCUCUGCUUUGUGCCACUCCUCCGCUAUGCGUCGCCACCGCUAGCCACCGCAGUCCGGAUCCACCCCUUUGCAUCGAGGUUGUUCAAAUCUCCGACGAAUCCCUCUAUGGAUGGAGAAGCAUCGCCGGCCACGUCUGCGUUCGGACGGCUGUAUUCGCACCACCGCCGCCUGUGCCGGCGUUCCCACGGUCACGUUCCUCUCCAACGUCACCUGUGCCUGCCAUCGCUCAUCCACAGCCAUGUUCUUUAUGGCUUCUUUGACCAUGAUGUCUCAGCUGCGACGCAAGCCUGCUUGGCCGCCGGAUGGAUGGAUACUGGCCAAGCUCACCCUCGGCACCCCGGCUGCGACCCAUGGUUGAAUGGGCCGCCGGCUGGAGGGCGUCCUGCUCCUCCUGACUAAGCUUGAUGUGGGGCGUUGGACUGACAACCUGGUGUGUGCGACCUGAAUAUGGCACUCGCUAAAUGAUGCAUCUUCUCUUGUCAUCCUCAUGCUCUCUGCCCUUAAUUUGUUAUCCUAUCUAUCUGAUUGUUGGCUACAUGCGCAUGUGUUUGAGGCAGGACCGCAUGAGCGGUGGCUUGCAUCUAGUAGGAGGCAGCAACAAGCAACGACGAUUCUAAACUAGCUGCUAGCAAUGCACCCCCACCCCUCUCAUCUACUUACAUGGAUUUUUAACGGCCAAACUACAUUCUUAAUUCUUUCUUUAGCGCUUUCAGUUUUCACUAACAAUCCAUAUUUUGUAAACCAUGAACCCUGUUCAUGAGCAUCUGACAACAACUUGUUUGAUGUUAUGCAUACGACGGAUUGAGGUACAGUCUAAUUUUCAGGUCAAACUCUUACCUCUGUUUAGAAAAAUCAAUAUGAAGAAACAGGUGUAUCUGAUGUACGAUCUGCACUUAAGAACAAGUGUACAUGUUGCUCCAAGCUGCCGGCGUUGACAGCCAAUGAGUCGGCGAGGGUCCACGGUCCAUUUGAUUUCAUGGGGAUUAUUCAGUAAAAUGCGAUCUACACAGAAUCCAAUCCAAUCCAGGUGAAACAUAAGUUGGCAGAUUAUUCCGAUGACGGGGCUUCUACUUGUGCGGCUCUACAUUACCAUUCUAGAGCUCAAGGCAUCAGGUCUGCUUUAGAGAAAAAAACUCUCGCUCAGUUUAUUUUCCAUGUAGUGUUAAAUUCCAAUGAACUUUCUUCAUUACAAAUGGUAAGCUAAAGCAGAUUAAAAAGGGUAAUAAAUUUGCUCAAUCCAUGGUCAGUUGCUAAACUCAGCAGGAUCUGCACUUCAAGGAGCUAACUGUUCACUAUAAUCCAUGGUCAGCCUUUAGGGUAUUCAUCCACUCAGUGUCAUGUAUCUGAAUUUUGUGGUCUGGAAAUUUUUACCGGUUAUUUCAUAAAUAAGAUUAUAGAGUUGUCCUCCCUCUGUUUUUCUAAUCUGCUCACUUGCUACAGUAAAUAAAUAAUUAAAUUAUCGGGAGUCGUAAUUUCAAGGAAAGAAACAAGAGCACUUUGAGGUCUCUGCUAUCGCACCAGUACUGGCAAUACAUGGGAACAUUUGUUGGUGUUGUAUUCAGAUCAGUGGAGAUUGCUCCUUCAGUCACCAUGCCAAUCCAUGUCUCGCAUGUUUAGUCACAUUGAGCUCUUCCAACUUUUCUUAAGCUAUGUUGUACACACACACACAAGUUUGCAGCUGAAUAUGAAUCAAUUUAUUGUGAUUUUUCAUUA